rnacentral:rRNA from 1 species
AGGUGUGGGGCUCGAGGGUUGAGAUGACGCUCGGACAGGCAUGCCCGCCAGAGUG